UUGGUGGCUUGCAACAACCGGACUGCAAAUUAACAACAACAAUUACAUAUCAUAAACCGCAAUAUUAAUAACUCUUUUAUCAUAAGCAGGUAAAGAAGAGAGACACUAAACAGUGAACACUCUAAGUAACAAUUAUUACAACCACAAUAUUAGAUUAUUAGGCUCAUAAAUAUAAUAAUCAACACCAAAAUAUAUAUAGCAAAAGAAUCUUUCAUAAAGAAAAUAAACAAAACAGAGCAUUUCUAGAUUCAAGAUUUAUGACAAAACAAGAACUUGAACAACUACACUUUUGAACGUUCCAUGCAUCUUCAUCAUAUUUUUGGUUACUCACGUGUAAAGCUGGGAAUUUGAACAUAUAUAUGUCUACUUUAAUAGAAAAAUUUCAAAAAUACAACAAAGAAAUAAUUAUUUGGGUCCAAAAAAUUGUAUACUUUUGUGGGUCGCUCCAAAAGCUAAUAAUAGAUUUUAACAUAUGAGAACAAAACUGCAAAGGCCAGAAAUAUUUCUGGCAAAUAAGAAUCGAAGCUUAGAAUCAUUGUUCAAGGAAUCAUACCUUUUUUACAUGCUUAAAAUUGUUUCAUUGGCUUCUACACAACAAUCAAUCAAUCAGGUCAAAUAAACUAAUAAAAUAAUUUUUCUACAUUUUAUUAUCUUUUUUUUUUUUUGAUGGAGUAAGCUAGAGGCAAAACUAAAUCAGAUCUAUACUCCAAUACUCAUAGUCAACUAAGUUAAUUAAUAAAAAAUUAACACAAAGUUUCUUCACUUGGAAAAAAAAAGAUAAUAAUUAUCUUUUCAAUAAUUGAGUCUCCCUCGUCAUAUGGGUCAUGAACACAUGGAGGACCUAAAUUGUUAUUUCAAGAAAAUAAAAUUUAAAGCAUGUCCCCAAAAAAACUAAUAUCAAGAAACUUAUCAAAAAAUUUAUGAAUCUGAAUAUCACUAGAUUUGAUUCUAAAUCAACCAGAAGAAAGAAAAAAAGAUAACAUCAAAGAGAAAAAUAAUUCUAGAAAGUUUUUUGUUUUUGAAAAGUAAUAAUUAUAGAAAGUUACCUCAACAGGGCUAAGUCUUCUAA